GAUGAACACUGGCGGCGUGCUUAACACAUGCAAGUCGAGCGAGUGAGUUCUUCGGAACGAUCUAGCGGCGGACGGGUGAGUAACACGUGGGCAACCUGCCUCAUAGAGGGGAAUAGCCUCCCGAAAGGGAGAUUAAUACCGCAUAAAAUUAUCGAGUGGCAUCACAUGAUAAUCAAAGGAGUAAUCCGCUAUGAGAUGGGCCCGCGGCGCAUUAGCUAGUUGGUGAGGUAACGGCUCACCAAGGCGGCGAUGCGUAGCCGACCUGAGAGGGUGAUCGGCCAAAUUGGGACUGAGACACGGCCCAGACUCCUACGGGAGGCAGCAGUGGGGAAUAUUGCACAAUGGGGGAAACCCUGAUGCAGCAACGCCGCGUGAGUGAUGAAGGUCUUCGGAUUGUAAAGCUCUGUCUUUGGGGACGAUAAUGACGGUACCCAAGGAGGAAGCCACGGCUAACUACGUGCCAGCAGCCGCCGUAA
rnacentral:rRNA from 1 species